GACGAACGCUGGCGGCGUGCUUAACACAUGCGAGUCGAACGGAAAGAGCCUGCUUUCGCUUGGCGCUCGCGUCGCAAACGUGAGAGUAGCCCGUGAGUAACCCUUCCUUUACGCGAUGAUAUCCUGAAAAAACCGUGGCUACUACCUGAUAAGAGCUGCUGCUCCAUGGUGUGGGUUGGACAUUAUCGGCGGUUGUGGAUGGACUCGCGGCUGACCAGCUUGUGGGUGGGAUACUGGCACACACAGCCUUUGGCGGAUAGCCGGCAUGAGAGGGUCACCAGCCACAUUGGUACUGAGAUACGGCCCAGACUCCUACGGGAGGCAACAGUGGAGAAUAUAACACAAUGAGCCGAAGCCUGAUACGGCAAUGCCGCGUGCGGGAUGACGGCCGUCGGGUUGUAAAGCGCUUUCGCCUGUGACGAAGCGUGAGUGACGGUAAUGGGUAAAGAAGCACCGGCUAACUACGUG
rnacentral:rRNA from 1 species